rnacentral:tRNA from 1 species
GGGGAUGUGGCUCAGUGGUAGAGCACUUGCCUGGCAUGUGCAGGGCCCUGGGUUCCAUCCCCA